AUCGUUUUGAUCCCCAAGAGUGCUACUGCUUCCUGUCCCUCGGACUACAGGCCUAUAAGUCUCAUGCACAUCAUUGCCAAAAUUCUUGGAAAACUGUUAGCUACUCGCUUAGCGUCUGAACUCCACCACCUUGUGUCCUCCUCACAAAGUGCCUUUAUUAAGAGAAGAUCGAUUCAAGACAAUUUUCUGUUUGUCCGUAACACUGUCAAAGAUGCGCACAUGAAGAAGAAGCCUCUGUUAUUCUUGAAGCUUGAUUUGCAAAGGCCUUCGACUCCGUUCAUUGGGACUAUCUCCUUGAGGGAGCUUUUGGUUUCAGUCAACGAUGGUGUGAUCUCAUCGCCAUCAUCCUCGGCUCCUCUUCUUCUAGGGUCUUGCUCAAUGGACUCCCGGGAAGAAUGCUUCUUCAUAAGAAAGGGCUUAGGCAGGGCGAUCCCAUCGCUCCUAUGCUGUUCAUCAUUGCCAUGGAGCCAUUACAGAGAUUGUUUUCGCUUGCCACUGAUCACGAACUCCUCUCACAAGUUUUUAACCAUGCUGCCAGACUGCGAACUAGCCUCUAUGCUGACGAUGCUGCACUCUUUCUCAACCCUGUGGCAAAUGAACUUCAAACAGUUGUGGGCUUGUUAA
rnacentral:rRNA from 1 species